AUCAACUUUCGAUGGUAGGAUAGGCCUACAUGGUGGUAACGGGUAACGGGGUGUUAGGGCACGACACCGGAGAGGGAGCCUGAGAAACGGCUACCACAUGCAAGGAAGGCAGCAGGCGCGCAAAUUACCCAAUCCCGACACGGGGAGGUAGUGACAAUAAAUAACAAUACAGGGUUCUUUCGGAUUUUGUAAUUGGAAUGAGUACAAUUUAAAUCUCUUAACGAGGAACAAUUGGAGGGCAAGUCUGGUGCCAGCAGCCGCGGUAAUUCCAGCUCCAAUAGCGUAUAUUAAAGUUGUUGCAGUUAAAAAGCUCGUAGUUGAAUUUCGGGAUCAAUACGUCGGUCGUGCUUCGGUACGUACUGGCGUCAUUGAUUUCUCCCUUCUGACGAACCAUGAUGUCAUUAACUUGGUGUCAUGGGAAAUCAGGACUGUUACUUUGAAAAAAUUAGAGUGUUUAAAGCAGGCUCACGCUUGAAUACAUUAGCAUGGAAUAAUGAAAUAGGACGUUCGAUCCUAUUUUGUUGGUUUCUAGGAUCAACGUAAUGAUUAAUAGGGAUAGUUGGGGGCAUUAGUAUUCAAUUGUCAGAGGUGAAAUUCUUGGAUUUAUUGAAGACUAACUACUGCGAAAGCAUUUGCCAAGGAUGUUUUCAUUAAUCAAGAACGAAAGUUAGGGGAUCGAAGACGAUCAGAUACCGUCGUAGUCUUAACCAUAAACUAUGCCGACUAGGGAUCGGAUGAUGUUAAUUAUUUAAUGACUCAUUCGGCGCCUUACGGGAAACCAAAGUGUUUGGGUUC
rnacentral:rRNA from 1 species